CGGAGCUUGCUCCACCGGGAAAAGAGGAGUGGCGAACGGGUGAGUAACACGUGGGUAACCUGCCCAUCAGAAGGGGAUAACACUUGGAAACAGGUGCUAAUACCGUAUAACAAUCGAAAUCGCAUGGUUUCGUUUUGAAAGGCGCUUUACGGUGCCGCUGAUGGAUGGACCCGCGGUGCAUUAGCUAGUUGGUGAGGUAACGGCUCACCAAGGCCACGAUGCAUAGCCGACCUGAGAGGGUGAUCGGCCACAUUGGGACUGAGACACGGCCCAAACUCCUACGGGAGGCAGCAGUAGGGAAUCUUCGGCAAUGGACGAAAGUCUGACCGAGCAACGCCGCGUGAGUGAAGAAGGUUUUCGGAUCGUAAAACUCUGUUGUUAGAGAAGAACAAGGGUGAGAGUAACUGUUCACCCCUUGACGGUAUCUAACCAGAAAGCCACGGCUAACUACGUGCCAGCAGCCGCGGUAAUACGUAGGUGGCAAGCGUUGUCCGGAUUUAUUGGGCGUAAAGCGAGCGCAGGCGGUUUCUUAAGUCUGAUGUGAAAGCCCCCGGCUCAACCGGGGAGGGUCAUUGGAAACUGGGAGACUUGAGUGCAGAAGAGGAGAGUGGAAUUCCAUGUGUAGCGGUGAAAUGCGUAGAUAUAUGGAGGAACACCAGUGGCGAAGGCGGCUCUCUGGUCUGUAACUGACGCUGAGGCUCGAAAGCGUGGGGAGCAAACAGGAUUAGAUACCCUGGUAGUCCACGCCGUAAACGAUGAGUGCUAAGUGUUGGAGGGUUUCCGCCCUUCAGUGCUGCAGCUAACGCAUUAAGCACUCCGCCUGGGGAGUACGACCGCAAGGUUGAAACUCAAAGGAAUUGACGGGGGCCCGCACAAGCGGUGGAGCAUGUGGUUUAAUUCGAAGCAACGCGAAGAACCUUACCAGGUCUUGACAUCCUUUGACCACUCUAGAGAUAGAGCUUCCCCUUCGGGGGCAAAGUGACAGGUGGUGCAUGGUUGUCGUCAGCUCGUGUCGUGAGAUGUUGGGUUAAGUCCCGCAACGAGCGCAACCCUUAUUGUUAUUUGCCAUCAUUUAGUUGGGCACUCUAGCAAGACUGCCGGUGACAAACCGGAGGAAGGGUGGGGAUGACGUCA
rnacentral:rRNA from 1 species